ACCCGGUGGAAUUAAGCAUAUCAAUAAGCGGAGGAAAAGAAACCAACAGGGAUUGCCCUAGUAACGGCGAGUGAAGCGGCAACAGCUCAAAUUUGAAAUCUGGCGUCUUUGGCGUCCGAGUUGUAAUUUGCAGAGGGCGCUUUGGCAUUGGCAGCGGUCCAAGUUCCUUGGAACAGGACGUCACAGAGGGUGAGAAUCCCGUACGUGGUCGCUAGCCUUUACCGUGUAAAGCCCCUUCGACGAGUCGAGUUGUUUGGGAAUGCAGCUCUAAAUGGGAGGUAAAUUUCUUCUAAAGCUAAAUACUGGCCAGAGACCGAUAGCGCACAAGUAGAGUGAUCGAAAGAUGAAAAGCACUUUGGAAAGAGAGUUAAAAAGCACGUGAAAUUGUUGAAAGGGAAGCGCUUGCAGCCAGACUUGCCUGUAGUUGCUCAUCCGGGUUUUUACCCGGUGCACUCUUCUACGGGCAGGCCAGCAUCAGUUUGGGCGGUUGGAUAAAGGUCUCUGUCAUGUACCUCCUCUCGGGGAGAUCUUAUAGGGGAGACGACAUGCAACCAGCCUGGACUGAGGUCCGCGCAUCUGCUAGGAUGCUGGCGUAAUGGCUGUAAGCGGCCCGUCUUGAACCACGGGACCCAA
rnacentral:rRNA from 1 species